rnacentral:rRNA from 1 species
UGGGGAAUUUUGGACAAUGGGCGAAAGCCUGAUCCAGCCAUGCCGCGUGAGUGAAGAAGGCCUUCGGGUUGUAAAGCUCUUUUAGUCGGAAAGAAAAGAUCAUAAUGAACAAUUAUGAUUCAUGACGGUACCGACAGAAAAAGCACCGGCUAACUACGUGCCAGCAGCCGCGGUAAUACGUAGGGUGCGAGCGUUAAUCGGAAUUACUGGGCGUAAAGGGUGCGCAGGCGGUUUUGUAAGUCAGAUGUGAAAGCCCCGGGCUUAACCUGGGAAUUGCGUUUGAAACUACAAGGCUAGAGUGCAGCAGAGGGGAGUGGAAUUCCAUGUGUAGCAGUGAAAUGCGUAGAGAUGUGGAAGAACACCGAUGGCGAAGGCAAUCCCCUGGGCCUGCACUGACGCUCAUGCACGAAAGCGUGGGGAGCAAACA